UUAACACAUGCAAGUCGAGGGGCAGCAUGGUCUUAGCUUGCUAAGGCCGAUGGCGACCGGCGCACGGGUGAGUAACACGUAUCCAACCUGCCGUCUACUCUUGGACAGCCUUCUGAAAGGAAGAUUAAUACAAGAUGGCAUCAUGAGUCCGCAUGUUCACAUGAUUAAAGGUAUUCCGGUAGACGAUGGGGAUGCGUUCCAUUAGAUAGUAGGCGGGGUAACGGCCCACCUAGUCUUCGAUGGAUAGGGGUUCUGAGAGGAAGGUCCCCCACAUUGGAACUGAGACACGGUCCAAACUCCUACGGGAGGCAGCAGUGAGGAAUAUUGGUCAAUGGGCGAGAGCCUGAACCAGCCAAGUAGCGUGAAGGAUGACUGCCCUAUGGGUUGUAAACUUCUUUUAUAAAGGAAUAAAGUCGGGUAUGGAUACCCGUUUGCAUGUACUUUAUGAAUAAGGAUCGGCUAACUCCGUGCCAGCAGCCGCGGUAAUACGGAGGAUCCGAGCGUUAUCCGGAUUUAUUGGGUUUAAAGGGAGCGUAGAUGGAUGUUUAAGUCAGUUGUGAAAGUUUGCGGCUCAACCGUAAAAUUGCAGUUGAUACUGGAUAUCUUGAGUGCAGUUGAGGCAGGCGGAAUUCGUGGUGUAGCGGUGAAAUGCUUAGAUAUCACGAAGAACUCCGAUUGCGAAGGCAGCCUGCUAAGCUGCAACUGACAUUGAGGCUCGAAAGUGUGGGUAUCAAACAGGAUUAGAUACCCUGGUAGUCCACACGGUAAACGAUGAAUACUCGCUGUUUGCGAUAUACAGCAAGCGGCCAAGCGAAAGCGUUAAGUAUUCCACCUGGGGAGUACGCCGGCAACGGUGAAACUCAAAGGAAUUGACGGGGGCCCGCACAAGCGGAGGAACAUGUGGUUUAAUUCGAUGAUACGCGAGGAACCUUACCCGGGCUUAAAUUGCAGAUGAAUUACGGUGAAAGCCGUAAGCCGCAAGGCAUCUGUGAAGGUGCUGCAUGGUUGUCGUCAGCUCGUGCCGUGAGGUGUCGGCUUAAGUGCCAUAACGAGCGCAACCCUUGUUGUCAGUUACUAACAGGUUCCGCUGAGGACUCUGACAAGACUGCCAUCGUAAGAUGUGAGGAAGGUGGGGAUGACGUCAAAUCAGCACGGCCCUUACGUCCGGGGCUACACACGUGUUACAAUGGGGGGUACAGAGGGCCGCUACCACGCGAGUGGAUGCCAAUCCCCAAAACCUCUCUCAGUUCGGACUGGAGUCUGCAACCCGACUCCACGAAGCUGGAUUCGCUAGUAAUCGCGCAUCAGCCACGGCGCGGUGAAUACGUUCCCGGGCCUUGUACACACCGCCCGUCAAGCCAUGGGGGCCGGGGGUACCUGAAGUGCGUAACCGCGAGGAGCGCCCUAGGGUAAAACUGGUGACUGGGGCUAAGUCAUAACA
rnacentral:rRNA from 1 species